AUUGAACGCUGGCGGCAGGCCUAACACAUGCAAGUCGAGCGGAUGAAGGGAGCUUGCUCCUGGAUUCAGCGGCGGACGGGUGAGUAAUGCCUAGGAAUCUGCCUGGUAGUGGGGGAUAACGUACGGAAACGGGCGCUAAGACCGCAUACGUCCUGAGGGAGAAAGGGGGGGAUCUUCGGACCUCACGCUAUCAGAUGAGACUAGCUCGGAUUAGCUAGUUGGUGGGGUAAAGGCCUACGAAGGCGACGAUCCGUAACUGGGCUGAGAGGAUGAUCAGUCACACUGGAACUGAGACACGGUCCAGACUCCUACGGGAGGCAGCAGUGGGGAAUAUUGGACAAUGGGCGAAAGCCUGAUCCAGCCAUGCCGCGUGUGUGAAGAAGGUCUUCGGAUUGUAAAGCCCUUUAAGUUGGGAGGAAGGGCAGUAAGUUAAUACCUUGCUGUUUUGACGUUACCAACAGAAUAAGCACCGGCUAACUUCGUG
rnacentral:rRNA from 1 species